rnacentral:rRNA from 1 species
CCCUUAGAUGUCCUGGGCUGCACGCGCGCUACACUGGAAGUUACGGAUUGAGAUACUACCUUGUCCGAAAUGGUCCGGGUAAUCACCUAAAAGCUUGUCAUAAUUGGAAUGGAUUAUUGUAACUAGUAAUCCUGAACGAGGAAUUCCUAGUAAGUCCCAGUCAACAGCUGGUACUGAUUACGUCCCUGCCCUUUGUACACACCGCUCGUCGCUACUACUGAUUGGACGUUUAAGCAAGAUUUUUAAACACUGACAGUGUGUAGUUCACGCUAUACUACAGUGAGAAGAAGAAGAUCGAGCUUACUUGUCUAGAGGAAGUAAAAGUCGUAACA